AUAGUUUACGAUAAAGGU
rnacentral:rRNA from 1 species